rnacentral:lncRNA from 1 species
UACUUUGUCCUGAAUACAGAUGAUGGAACAGAGGCUCAGAGAGGUUAAGGAGCUCACCCUAGGUCACACAGCUUGGAAGUGGUGGAGCUGUGACUUGAGUCCAGGUCUUUCUACUUCGAACCCUCAGUCUCCAGACUUGUAUAAAAUAUAAAUCCCUUUUUGGAGGCCUUGUCGGGUGCAUGUGGAUGUGGAGAAAUGUCAGAUGCAGAUGGUGCUGUGGACCGUUGGACCAGUUUUCCAGAGCUGAGGGACCUUGUGGCCUUGGGUGAGGAAGCUGAGGAGGCCCAGAGAGGGGCGACAGCUUGCCAUGGUCACACAGCAGGUUGGCACCCCAGCCGGAUGAGAGCCCCGGCCUCGGAGCCCCAGCCUGGGCUGGCCAGGUCUCAGCUCCUGCCGACUCUUGAGUCACGGGAUUUGGGUUCUGCGAGUCUGCAGUACAGACAGGACAGGCUGCGUCCUCCGGGAAGGGGCCUCGUGGUCGCUGAGAAGACGAGCAUCCAAGGUCUCUUAAAGGAGAAGGCUGUGUUAUUUCCCGAGCUGCUUCCUGCGUGGUGCAACCGAGCUGAGAGCCGGAGCCGACUUUGGAAGGCUCAUCCUCCAACCCACUCUCCCGUCGGUGGAAAGGUUUAUAGGAAACAAAGGCUCAGAGAGGCAAAGUGAUUACCCAAGGUCACACAGCUGGAACGCAAUGAAGCCAGGACAUGAACCUGCUCCUAGGGCCCUCCUGUUUUCCAUCCCACGGCCAGUCGUCUCAACCAAGAAGGUCUCAGAGUCAGUCUACACAGAGAGAACACGCCUCCGUCACAUCCACUCCUCUCCCAUGUCCGUCCACGGUAGAGUUUGAGGCUGCUUUUUAUCACAAUCAUCAACCUUUAAUGUUUUGCUUUUUGAAAAUAUCUGUAGCCGCGGCUCAGGGUCAGUGGCCGAGAGAGAGUGUGUGUGGGUGUCCGAACAUCAAUGUCCAGCUUUCCCCCGGGAGGGAGGUAAACAGGCUUCCGGGACUCAAGCGGAACAUUUUUUAGCGUCUUGCGCCUUUGGCCUGGGCACGUCAGAUUUGGGGUCCCACCGUCUCGGAUCCCACGCUUCUGGUGUGCUUGGGAACGGAAGGUGUUUGGGGACAAGCCGGGUAGGAGGCCCGGCUGCCGAAACAAAGAGAGAGAAGGCAAGUUCAGGGGCGCGAGCUAGGGCGGGGGGCGCCCACUGCUUCUUUCUGCAGCCUCCCGAGUCAGCGGGUGGCUCGCACACACACGGUGCCGGGGUUUAAGCCCUGUUUCUAACCACGUGCAUGUAGUUAAUCUCUCCGAGCCUCAGUGUUUAUGAAACAGGAAUAAUAAAAAUGCCCACCCAUACAGUUGCGUGAUUAAAUGGCGUGAUGCGCGAGGACAGCUAUGCCUGUGCCCGGCUCACGGUAAGGACUCGGCGAAUGUGCAAUGUGAAGGUAUGGAUAUUGUAAGUCAGCAAACAGAUGUUGCAUUCUGAGUCUAUGGUAGGAGUCAUUUCCAUGUAUCUCACUUAAAAAAAAUCACAAUAACCCUGGUGGGGGGGGGGUGUUGUUAUUAUCUUUACUUUGUAGAUAAGGAAGCCUAGACUUAGGAAGAAGAGUGGCAGAGCCAAGUGAAUCCCCCGGAGUUUGCCAAAUCCGCCAGUGGGGUCUCCCUGCCACACUCACCUGAGCCCAGGUUCAGGGCCUGCUGAGACCCACAGCACAACGAAGCCAGGUCUGACUGGAGGGUGGACCUCCGGGAGCUCAGCUGGGUAGUGCGAGGCCUCGUGUCAGCCAAUGGCAGCAGGUUUUACUGAUGCUUCUGGAGGGCCCACCCUCUGGAAAUGCAAGCCCGUUGGUUCCCAGGACUGGAAGCCUCAAGCACGUGUGGCCCUAGACCUCAAAGAGGGUUUGGCUGCUGUGGCUUCUCUGGCAACAAAAGCUGUUGAUUUGUUUUUUGAGCCGAGUGGCUAGUUGAGGGCACCAGCCACAACCUGCUAUUAGGAGCUCCUCACUGCGGUCUGCGUGGAGCGCUCAGGGAAGAGCCCCCGUGUGUCCUGGGAUCCCACGGUCUCUUGUUUCUUCCCUCUUGGUUGGCAUGUGGCUGGGGCAGGGGACACCCUGGGGAUUUCGGCGUGAGUCUCUCUCCCUCACAGGACUGUGCAGAGCUCUCCUGAAGCUGUGGGACCAACCACAUCUGAGGAGUCCUCACUCCCAGACCCCUGCCCUUUUAGGUCCUCGGUGUUUCCAAACACUUCUUCAGGACCCGUUCCUGGAGAACUUUCUGUAGAUAUGGAUGCAAAUACAGAAGGGUGGGCCCCAAAGCACUUCUGGUGAUUGAAUGUGCUGCCUCUGUGCAUUGCUUUGUCUCUCUCUGUCCACCCCUCACCAGAACGGAUGCUUCCCAGCUUGGGAUCUUGCCUCUCUUGUCCUCUGAUAUAUCCUCAGUGCCUAGAACACGGUGCUCUACAACAGCACAGAGCAGGGGAGCCACUAUUGAUCCAUGGGUGUGCCCUGGCAACUGGUACAGGGUCUUGUGCUCAGUGUCUGCUUCAUCAGGAGCUGGACCCAAUCACCCACUAAAUGGUCAUUUGUUAAUUAACUAAGGGAUGAAUACUGGAAGUAGACUGGUGAGGAAAAAACAAGAUUCGGUUCCAGCCUUCCUGGACUUGCUAGGGGAGUUGGACCAGUGGAGCUCAAUCCAGUUCAGCUUGACUCAACUCAACUGAGCUCAUCACAACUAAGUUCAGCUCAAUGCAGGUCAACUCAUCUUGACUUAGCUCAGUGCACAUCAGCUCCGCUCAACGCAGUGCUCAGAGUGGAUCAUCUCUGCUCAAUGGACCCACCUUGACUCGACUCAGUGCAGCUCAACUCAACACAACUCAGCUGUACUAGGCUUGCUUGGUUCAACUCCACUUAACUCAACUCAGCUCAACUGGGAACGGCUACAUUCAGUCAAUUAGGGAGGCAUUAACCGAGUAUCAAGGUUAGAGGCUCAUGUGGUUGAUUCCUCCAGGAACACAUACUUUAGUCAUUAAAAUAAGGAGUUUGGAUAUGAAGAAUGUAGAUAGUAAUAUACAAGCAAAGACUUUAAAGCUCAAUGGAAGGAACAGCUACUUCUCACUGGUGAAGGCUUCUUGAAAGUCAUAUUAUUUCAGCCCCACAGCUGGCACUCAGGAGCUGGAGUGUGGUAUGAUUCAAGCUAUAUUUUCACACCAUAAAUGUUGGGAGAACAGAGGAUGGGUGGGAAGGGAUGAGGCAGGAAGACUAGGUAGGAGAGAAGAGUAUCUGGGAAUCCAGGGCCCCAGGGAUGAUGGAGAGAGGAAGUGUUGGCUAAAUACUCAUCUAUAAGUUCCCACCAAAUGUCAUGCAGAAUCUACAGGGCAUUUAACAGCCUUGGAAGAUUAUGGUCUCGUCUUUCUAAGUCUCUUACAUUCUAAAACCUCAAGUUCUUCAUCUGCAAUUAUGGAAUUUAUAGUACUAUUCCCCCUAAGGAUUGUGAAAAUUCAAUUGGUAUACAAGUGCUUAAAAAGUCAAGUAUUUUUGAACUUAAGAAAAAUAUGGAGAGUAAUAUAACUAAUACUCAUGCACCCACUACCUAGAAUAAAUAAAUAUUAAUGUUUUGUUAAGUUGGCUUUGGCUUUUUUGUUUCUUUUGGAAGCAAAGUCCUUGACAGUUGUGUUGACAUUCCACUAUACCCCUCUCCAAAUCUGUCCUUCUCACUCCCUGCCUGAGACACCAUUUCUGGAAUGGGAUGUGUCCUUUCCUGUAUUUUUACUACACAUAAACAUAUCCCUAAAUAAUAAAUGGUAUUGUUUGUGUGUUUUAAACCUGUAUAUAAACGGC